rnacentral:lncRNA from 1 species
GUCUCGCAGACUGGAGUGUUGUGGUGGGAUCAUAGCUCAUUGGAGCCUUGAACCUUGCGGGGUUCAAGUAGCUGAGAAGCUGAGGUGGGACUAAAGAGAUGGGGUCGCGCCAGGUUAACAGGCUGCUCUUGGCCCGAAAGGAUCCUCUCGCGUCCGCCGCCACCGGACACAGUUUCCUAUUUUUGACGGACAUACACACUGUGCUGGGUGGGAGUUUGUCAACUACCCUUCUCCAGCCAGGAAUACACAGGACCUGGAGAGGAGGUCGCGGUUACCAGGCUCGACUCUGAGGAGACUGACCAGCUCCAGGUACUAUAUCGCCCCUGUGACGUCGCUGAAAGCGCGCGUCUGUGGCGUCGCGGAAGGCCAGCGUGUAUGACGUUGCCGAAGGCGCGCCUCUGAGACGUCACCGAAGUCGCGCCCUAAGACGUCACCGAAGUCGCGCC